CACGAACCGUGCAAACGUUAUUCGGAAUUACUGGGCUUAAAGGGUGCGUAGGCGGUCUGGAGGGUUGGAUGUGAAAUCCCUCGGCUCAACCGAGGAAUUGCGUUCAAAACCGCCAGGCUUGAGGGAGACAGAGGUGAGCGGAACUGAUGGUGGAGCGGUGAAAUGCGUUGAUAUCAUCAGGAACACCAGUGGCGAAGGCGGCUCACUGGGUCUCUUCUGACGCUGAGGCACGAAAGCUAGGGUAGCGAACGGG
rnacentral:misc_RNA from 1 species